rnacentral:rRNA from 1 species
GUGCCAGCAGCCGCGGUAAUACGUAGGGUGCAAGCGUUAAUCGGAAUUACUGGGCGUAAAGCGUGCGCAGGCGGUUCGGAAAGAAAGAUGUGAAAUCCCAGGGCUCAACCUUGGAACUGCAUUUUUAACUACCGGACUAGAGUAUGUCAGAGGGGGGUGGAAUUCCACGUGUAGCAGUGAAAUGCGUAGAUAUGUGGAGGAACACCGAUGGCGAAGGCAGCCCCCUGGGAUAAUACUGACGCUCAUGCACGAAAGCGUGGGGAGCAAACAGGAUUAGAUACCCGUGUAGUCC